GAUGAACGCUGGCGGCGUGCCUAAUACAUGCAAGUCGAGCGAACAGAUGAGGAGCUUGCUCCUCUGACGUUAGCGGCGGACGGGUGAGUAAAACGUGGAUAACCUACCUAUAAGACUGGGAUAACUACGGGAAACCGGAGCUAAUACCGGAUAAUAUAUUGAACCGCAUGGUUCAAUAGUGAAAGACGGUUUUGCUGUCACUUAUAGAUGGAUCCGCGCCGCAUUAGCUAGUUGGUAAGGUAACGGCUUACCAAGGCAACGAUGCGUAGCCGACCUGAGAGGGUGAUCGGCCACACUGGAACUGAGACACGGUCCAGACUCCUACGGGAGGCAGCAGUAGGGAAUCUUCCGCAAUGGGCGAAAGCCUGACGGAGCAACGCCGCGUGAGUGAUGAAGGUCUUCGGAUCGUAAAACUCUGUUAUUAGGGAAGAACAAAUGUGUAAGUAACUAUGCACGUCUUGACGGUACCUAAUCAGAAAGCCACGGCUAACUACGUG
rnacentral:rRNA from 1 species